rnacentral:tRNA from 1 species
GCGGCUAUAGCUCAGUUGGUUAGAGCGCCUGGUUGUGGUCCAGGAGGUCGUCGGUUCGAAUCCGACUAGUCGCC